GUUUUGUUUCUGUUUCCUAACUGCCACUUGACAGCUGAUGAUUGUAUGUGUAGUACAUCCCUGUAACUUAGCGUUUCAGCAAAAAGGACUGAGAGAAUGGGCCUGGCAUUAAAAAAAUAAGUUCUGCGGUUAAUUCAUCUGUGUAAAAGUCUUCAAGGUGGUGCCCCAGCUUGGCCACAGUCUAAUGACUGAAACAAGUAAAAGAUAAAGGCAAUGGGUUAACUUUGAACAUGCCUUCAUUCAAAGAAGGUAUGUUUGUGUAUGUAUGUGUGUGUGUGUGUGUGUAUAUAUAUAUAUAUAUGUAUGUAUAAAAUCAUUGCGUAUCUUUCAUAAUCUUGUUAUUCUCCACUGAUAUGUUUUAAAUUCUGCACACAUCCAUGUGGGAGAAAGCAUGUGGCUUAAUGGUUUGGGUACCCAGCUCCCAAUUGUACGGUCAUGAGCUUGAUAUCUGGCAGCAUGUGUCCUUGAGCAAGGCGCUUUCUUUUUCUCCGUUACUCCAGUCCCACACAGCUGGCAGUAAUGAGUUGUACCUGUAGUCUUGUCAUCUUGAUUGUCAAGCUGAAGAUCCCCGAGAACCACACUGAUGGUAUGCAUGUCUGUGGAGUGCUCAACCACAUACAUGUUAAUUUCACAAGCAGGCUGCUCUGUUGAUCAGAUCACCUGAAACCUUGGUUGUCAUAACUAAUUGAGUGCCAGAAAGAAGGAUGUAUAGACACAGACAUGGCUUCAUGAUUAAGAAGUUCACUUCCCAACUGCAUGGUUUCAGGUUCAUUCUCAUGCACAACACCCUGGGCAAGAAUCCUCGACUAUGGCCCCAGGUCAACGAAGCUUUGUGAGUAGAUUUCGUAGAUGAUGGAAACUAAAAAAAGCCUGUCGUGUUUGUGUUUGCAUUUGUGCUCUAUGAAAGUCACUUGCUACAAGCGGACGUUUUGUCAUUGUCAAAACUAGCAUCAGUUUGCUUCACAGCUGUGAAGAUGUAUGAAAUGGGAGAUCCCUUACUUGAAAAACAUGCUACGGUUGGUAACCAGAAGGGCAUCCAGUUACAAAACAAUACCUUAAUAAGAUAGACAUAAUAAACUGAUGUAAAAUGAAUAAAGGUUACAUAAUUAUCAUUUAAUGUCUGUUUUCCAUGCUGGCACUGGUUGGGCAGUUUGACAGGAACUGGCAAGCCUGGAGAGCUGCUCUAGGCUCCAAUUGUCUGUUUUGGCAAGGUUUCUAUGACCAGAUGCCCUUAACACCAACCACUUCAGGGUGUAAUGAGUGCUUUUUAUGUGAACUGAUAUCCUGGUGAAUGGGGAAUGUUGAGUUACCCACACAGCCUGUCGGGUAUCACCAUUUGAAAGCUACUACAAUAAUACAUGGUUACACAUUGUGACAGUGGCAUAUAACAAUACCUGAUAGUCUGGUUGAUACAGUGAAAUGUGUGUGUCUGUGUGUAUAUAUAUAUAUUUAUAAAAUUUUACUGGCAUUGGCUGACAGAAUCAUUUAUGAAGGCUGAAAAGCUGAACAAGUUGAUGGUAACUUGGGUUGGAUGAUGAAGACAAAACUUCAAAUAUUGAUCUGUCUGUCCACUUUUGCCUAUUGGUUCCUAUUUCAUUUUUAGUAACUAACUGUCUGUCUGUCUGUGUGUUUGUAUAUAUAAUACAUACAUAUAUAUUCACACACAUAUACCUCUCACUCCCCCCACACCCUGCUUUCUCGGUGUGUGUGUGUGUUUGUGUGUGUGCACAUACGUAUAUGUAUGAAAAGGAGACAAGUUAUCAAUUUCAUAACGAACAGUUUUUGACAAAACGAAACAAAAAAAAUGAGCAAAACCAUUUAAUAAAUAUAAAUGAAGUAUAAAAUAAUAGUAAUAAUAAUAAUCAUAAUAAUGGACAGUGGGUUUUUUUUUGGUUUUUUUUUUAAUUAUUUAACACAAAGAGACAACCUUUUGAAUAUAUUUUUCACUGUCUUUCUCUCAUGCCACCCUAUCCUCUCCCAGCCAUUCCAUUUUAACAACUACAACAGCAGCAGCAACAACAACCCCACACCCCUAUCAAAAAGGAAAAAAAAAAAUGUUUGGAAAUCCCUACAACCUUGUCUAUGUAUGUAUGUAUGUAUGUAUAUGUGUAUAUUUACAUAUGUGUGUGUAUGUAUGUAAGAGUGUAUGUAUGUAUGUAUGUUUCUCUCUGUCAUUUUACCAUAGUCAGAACUGCUCCAUAUUUGACAAUGUAUUCUUGCAAUGAUGUCACCAACCAUUCUUUCCUGAAAGAAACAAAAAAAAAGAAUUAAAAAGAAAAAAGAAACAAAA